AAAAAAGUGCAUUGGUAGCAUACGGAGGGAGUACGAUUUUCGCGUUUUCUGGUUAAUCCAACCAUCUAUAAAAGCUGAAAUAGUCGCAAAUUGGAAGAAAAUUUUGUUUUCUUUGGGAUGAGCUUCCAUCCGCGCACUCUGUCACUGGAUCCUUCUCGAAUUCGCCUAUCCGUUCCGUGCACCGUAUUUGUUCCCAAAAAAAAAGUUCAGUACAAGUUGGUUCAAGUGCUGCAAUUCCAAGUGGAAUGAAUAAUGGCUGACAAGCCCUGCAUGUCACCAACCCCAUAAAUUUCCGGAAGACCUAAAUUUCCGGUGGACUAUGGUGCACAAUUUUGCUUGGCACUCGGACGAUGAUCAGCCUUCCAUAAAAUUGGGAACAGACGCUGUUGUGAGCCGCUUCUAAUAUGGACGUUCGAUUAGAUUUGGACCCCAGGAAAGGAUCAACCCUCCCACCUUCUCUGUCAGCGUACGACCCUAGUUCCCUCCGGAGUUGGUUACCCGAUCUUCCCUGAGGUGGCUCUUCCACCGGCCAGCACCACGGGGAUGUAGGAAUAGGACAAUUAGGACAAUAAUAGGACAAUAGGUGCAAUUAAAAUUCCUUCCAAGUGCAAUUAAUAAUGGUAAGUUUUAUUGAUUUGCAUUUUUUAUUCUCUUGCUGAUUAUUCGUUUCUUGUUGUAUUUUAAGGCUGACUAGCAGGACUUAUCACCAACCCCCUGAAUUUCCGGAAGACCUAAAUUUCCGGGGGAUUAUGGUGCACAAUUUGGCUUGAAGACCCUCGUCGGCAUUCGGACGAUGAUCAACCUCUCCGAAAAUAGGAAACAGACGCUGUUGUGAGCCGCUUCUAACAUGGAGAACAGACGCUCGAUUAGAUUUGGAUCCCAGGAAAGGAUCAAACCUCCCGCCUUCCCUGUCAGCGUACGAUCCUAGUUCCCACCCGAUCUUCCAUAUGGUGGCUCGUACCCCGGCCAGCACCACGGGCAUGUAGGGAUAGGACGAUGGGAGUUGCUGGGUAAGAGGCUGAGGGCCACGAGAUUAGGUCUAUUUUAUUCCUUCAGGUGCGCGAAGUACCAAUGUUACGCUUUACCAUCCAUUUGCCGUGAUUUAAAUUUAUUUUUUUAAUAUCUUAUAAGUUUGAUUGAAUUUUUUAAAUAAAUAGUCUGUAAGUUGAUAUUUCGGUUGAUAUAAAUGAUUAUUAAAAUGAAAGAAAUUGAAAAUAAAUUCUGAAGCAUUAAUAUAACGCAAGGGGUACCGUUGUACAAAUUUUCCUGAUAUGCUCCGAUUAUAACUUUAAAAUAAGACUUAUUGUUUGAAUCUCGUAAAGCGGAUGAUAUCUCAGCAUUAUGUUGUAUAAUAUGAGGAAAAUUUUGUUCGAGAAAAUGACCGAUUUUUUAUAGUAACAUAACUUAACCGCCCUUUCCACAUAUUGUAAAUUGGUGAAAUACCAUUUAUCGUAUUGUUGAAACAAUUUGAGAUAGUGUAGACGUAUUGUUGCGAUAGAUGAUUCGUACUGUUUUACAAGUAUUGUUUGGAAUGGUUUUGAAUUAUAUGGGAGACAGUAAUGUAAUAGUCCAGAACUAUGCGGGUCUUCAACUACUCCGAUUUUGUCACCACCAAUACAAACUCGUGGUGGGUGGUAUACGUUGUCCUCUCUAUCAUGUACUUCGUCUUCGACGUGUUGAUGACUAGUCCAAUCCUUUAGCUUCGCUUUUCAGUCUGAUGUAGGCUUUCUUCAUCCUUUCAAAGUUACGUGCCUUAAUAUCAAUGUCGUCGGCGAAACCAAAUAACUGGAAGGACUUCGAGAAAAUCGUACCACUCGUGUCCAUCCCUGCCCUUCGUAUUACUCCCUCCAGAGCGAUGUUGAAUAGCAGACACGAAAGACCAUCACCUUGCCGUAACCCUCUGCGCGUUUCGAAGGGACUCGAGAAUGCCCCUGAAACUCGAACUACGCAAAUCACCCGAUCCAUCGUCGCCUUGAUCAACCUUAUCAGUUUAUCCGAAAAUGGUGUAUCCGGUUUUGGUGCAUUAGCUGCCAUAGCUGGUCCCUAUCGAUUGUAUCAUAUGCGGCUUUGAAGUCGAUAAAUAGAUGAUGUGUGGGCACGUUGUCAAACUGAAUCGAAUUCCAUUUCUAUUUUUGCAGUGCAGUUCUACUUCAGUUCCUUGCUGAUGUUAAUUCUAAUGCUACGUUUAGACAAGGCAAGUGAAUUGAGCAAGUCGCUUGAAACGAACGCGAAUUGAACGUGUAAACACGGUUGUCGUGACCCGAUUGAGUUUUCCAGACUCGACCGAAACACCUUAAUCCAAUUCACUUGAACGAAAAGAAAGUUGAACAUGUUCAACUUUUGGCAAGUCAAUUGAAUUCAACUGAGGGUCUGUCUCAAUUGGAUCAUUAAACUGAAAUUAAACUUAAAAGUGACAUUUCAAUAAUUAUCGGAUAACCCUGCUCGCAGAGCAAGAUUACUUUUGACAGAUAUCGAAUCAUUUUCCAUCGAUGUCUUAUUGGAA